rnacentral:rRNA from 1 species
UACAGAGGUCUCAAGCGUUGUUCGGAUUCAUUGGGCGUAAAGGGUGUGUAGGUGGCGCCGUAAGUCGGGUGUGAAAUUUCGGAGCUUAACUCCGAAACUGCAUUCGAUACUGCGGUGCUUGAGGACUGGAGAGGAGACUGGAAUUUACGGUGUAGCAGUGAAAUGCGUAGAUAUCGUAAGGAAGACCAGUGGCGAAGGCGGGUCUCUGGACAGUUCCUGACAGCUGAGAACACGAAGGCCCAGGGGGAGCAAAACGGGG